rnacentral:piRNA from 1 species
UCCCUGAAGCGGUAUCUCGGUGAGAUGGA